AGUGGGGAAUAUUGCACAAUGGGCGAAAGCCUGAUGCAGCAACGCCGCGUGAGGGAUGACGGCCUUCGGGUUGUAAACCUCUUUUAGUAGGGAAGAAGCUUUUGUGACGGUACCUACAGAAAAAGCACCGGCUAACUACGUGCCAGCAGCCGCGGUAAUACGUAGGGUGCAAGCGUUGUCCGGAAUUAUUGGGCGUAAAGAGCUCGUAGGCGGUUUGUCGCGUCUGCUGUGAAAUCCUAAGGCUCAACCUUAGACUUGCAGUGGGUACGGGCAGGCUUGAGUGCGGUAGGGGAGAUUGGAAUUCCUGGUGUAGCGGUGGAAUGCGCAGAUAUCAGGAAGAACACCGAUGGCGAAGGCAGAUCUCUGGGCCGCUACUGACGCUGAGGAGCGAAAGCAUGGGGAGCGAA
rnacentral:rRNA from 1 species